rnacentral:rRNA from 1 species
CAGCAGCCGCGGUAAAACGAAGGGUGCAAGCGUUACUCGGAAUUACUGGGCGUAAAGCGUGCGUAGGUGGUGGUUUAAGUCCGUUGUGAAAGCCCUGGGCUCAACCUGGGAAUUGCAGUGGAUACUGGGUCACUAGAGUGUGGUAGAGGAUAGUGGAAUUUCCGGUGUAGCAGUGAAAUGCGUAGAUAUGCGGAGGAACACCGAUGGCGAAGGCAAUCCCCUGGGCCUGCACUGACGCUCAUGCACGAAAGCGUGGGGAGCAAACAGGAUUAGAGACCCCUGUAGUCCCUGUCUCUUAUAC